CCUACGGGUGGCAGCAGUGGGGGAUAUUGCACAAUGGGGGGAACCCUGAUGCAGCGACGCCGCGUGGGUGAAGGAGUGCUUCGGCAUGUAAAGCCCUAUCGGCAGGGAAGAAGCAAGACGGUACCUGACUAAGAAGCCCCGGCUAACUACGUGCCAGCAGCCGCGGUAAUACGUAGGGGGCGAGCGUUAUCCGGAUUCACUGGGUGUAAAGGGAGCGUAGACGGCCAUGCAAGCCAGGGGUGAAAGCCCGGGGCCCAACCCCGGGACUGCCCUUGGAACUGCAUGGCUGGAGUGCGGGAGGGGCAGGCGGAAUUCCUGGUGUAGCGGUGAAAUGCGUAGAUAUUAGGAGGAACACCAGUGGCGAAGGCGGCUUACUGGACUGUAACUGACGUUGAGGCUCGAAAGCGUGGGGAGCAAACAGGAUUAGAUACCCUUGUAGUC
rnacentral:rRNA from 1 species